rnacentral:RNase_P_RNA from 1 species
GAAAUUGGCCAGACAAUCGCUGCUUUGUUGUUGUCCUUCGGGAGACAAACAGAGGGGAGGAAAGUCCGGGCUCCAUAGGGCAGAGUGCCAGGUAACGCCUGGGGAGUCUUUGCGAGAGCAAAAAUUCACGACAAGUGCAACAGAAAGUAAACCGCCGAUGGCUUAGGCACAGGUAAGGGUGAAAGGGUGCGGUAAGAGCGCACCGCGCAACUGGUAACAGUUUGUGGCACGGUAAACUCCACUCGGAGCAAGGUCAAAUAGGGAUCCAUUGGCGCGGCCCGCGUUGGAUCCGGGUAGACUGCUUGAGCUAAUAUGUGAAUAUUAGCCUAGAUGAAUGAUUGUCCACGACAGAACCCGGCUUAUCGGCUGAUUUCAAUA